CACGUAGGGCGCAAGCGUUGUCCGGAAUUAUUGGGCGUAAAGAGCUCGUAGGCGGUCUGUUGCGUCCGCUGUGAAAACCCGGGGCUUAACCCCUGGCUUGCAGUGGAUACGGACAGACUAGAGGUAGGUAGGGGAGAAUGGAAUUCCCGGUGUAGCGGUGAAAUGCGCAGAUAUCGGGAGGAACACCGGUGGCGAAGGCGGUUCUCUGGGCCUUACCUGACGCUGAGGCGCGAAAGCUAGGGGAGCAAACAGG
rnacentral:rRNA from 1 species